AUUGAACGCUGGCGGCAUGCCUUACACAUGCAAGUCGAACGGCAGCGGACCUUCGGGUGCCGGCGAGUGGCGAACGGGUGAGUAAUAUAUCGGAACGUACCUUUCAGUGGGGGAUAACGUAGCGAAAGUUACGCUAAUACCGCAUAUUCUGUGAGCAGGAAAGCAGGGGAUCGCAAGACCUUGCGCUGAUUGAGCGGCCGAUAUCAGAUUAGCUAGUUGGUGAGGUAAAGGCUCACCAAGGCGACGAUCUGUAGCGGGGUCUGAGAGGAUGAUCCGCCACACUGGAACUGAGACACGGUCCAGACUCCUACGGGAGGCAGCCAGUGGGGAAUUUUGGACAAUGGGCGCAAGCCUGAUCCAGCCAUGCCGCGUGAGUGAAGAAGGCCUUCGGGUUGUAAAGCUCUUUCGGCCGGGAAGAAAUCGCACAGGUUAAUACCCUGUGUGGAUGACGGUACCGGAAUAAAAAGCACCGGCUAACUACGUG
rnacentral:rRNA from 1 species